UGCCAGCAGCCGCGGUAAGACGAACCGGACAAACGUUAUUCGGAAUCACUGGGCUUAAAGGGUACGUAGGCGGCGCGGCAAGUUGGGUGUGAAAUCCCUCGGCUCAACCGAGGAAUGGCGCCCAAAACUGCCGCGCUAGAGGGAGACAGAGGUGAGUGGAACUUAGGGUGGAGCGGUGAAAUGCGUUGAUAUCCUAAGGAACACCGGUGGCGAAAGCGACUCACUGGGUCUCUUCUGACGCUGAGGUACGAAAGCUAGGGGAGCGAACGGGAUUAGAUA
rnacentral:rRNA from 1 species